AGAGUUUGAUCCUGGCUCAGGAUGAACGCUAGCGGCAGGCCUAAUACAUGCAAGUCGAGGGGCAGCACGGUAGCAAUACUGGUGGCGACCGGCGCACGGGUGCGUAACACGUAUACAAUCUGCCUUUAACAGGGGGAUAGCCCGGAGAAAUCCGGAUUAAUACCCCAUAACAGGAGUCUCGGCAUCGAGAUUUUUUGAAAGCUCCGGCGGUUAAAGAUGAGUAUGCGUCUGAUUAGCUAGUUGGUGAGGUAACGGCUCACCAAGGCGACGAUCAGUAGGGGAUCUGAGAGGAUUAACCCCCACACGGAUACUGAGACACGGAUCCGACUCCUACGGGAGGCAGCAGUAAGGAAUAUUGGACAAUGCCCGCAAGGGUGAUCCAGCCAUGCCGCGUGCAGGAAGACGGCCCUAUGGGUUGUAAACUGCUUUUACACCGGAGAAAACCCCCCUACGUGUAGGGGGCUGAUAGUAUGGUGAGAAUAAGCAUCGGCUAACUUCGUGCCAGCAGCCGCGGUAAGACGAAGGAUGCAAGCGUUAUCCGGAUUCAUUGGGUUUAAAGGGAGCGUAGGUGGACUUAUAAGUCAGCGGUGAAAUCUCUGGGCUUAACCCAGAAAUUGCCAUUGAUACUGUAGGUCUUGAGUACAGUUGCUGUGGGCGGAAUAUGACAUGUAGUGGUGAAAUACAUAGAGAUGUCAUAGAACACCGAUUGCGAAGGCAGCUCACAAAGCUGUAACUGACACUGAGGCUCGAAAGUGCGGGGAUCAAACAGGAUUAGAUACCCUGGUAGUCCGCACUGUAAACGAUGAUUACUCGCUGCUAGGGGGCAACCUUUAGUGGCUUAGCGAAAGCGAUAAGUAAUCCACCUGGGGAGUACGCCGGCAACGGUGAAACUCAAAGGAAUUGACGGGGGCCCGCACAAGCGGAGGAGCAUGUGGUUUAAUUCGAUGAUACGCGAGGAACCUUACCAGGGCUUGAAAGUUAGGGAAUGGAUCUGAAAGGAUUCGGUCAGCAAUGACCCGAAACUAGGUGCUGCAUGGCUGUCGUCAGCUCGUGCCGUGAGGUGUUGGGUUAAGUCCCGCAACGAGCGCAACCCCUACCAUUAGUUGCCAGCGGUUCGGCCGGGGACUCUAGUGGAACUGCCCGCGCAAGCGGAGAGGAAGGUGGGGAUGACGUCAAGUCAUCACGGCCCUUACGUCCUGGGCUACACACGUGCUACAAU
rnacentral:rRNA from 1 species